AGAGUUUGAUCCUGGCUCAGAACGAACGCUGGCGGCGUGCCUAACACAUGCAAGUCGAACGAGAAAGCCCUUCGGGGUGAGUAUAGUGGCGCACGGGUGAGUAAUGCAUAGGAACGUACCUCUUUGUGGGGAAUAACGACGGGAAACCUUCGCUAAUACCGCAUGAUGUCGUAAGACCAAAGGUGGCCUCUACUUGUAAGCUACCGCAGAGAGAUCGGCCUAUGUCCCAUUAGCUAGUUGGGGGGGUAAUGGCCCACCAAGGCGACGAUGGGUAGCUGGUCUGAGAGGACGAUCAGUCACACUGGAACUGAGACACGGUCCAGACUCCUACGGGAGGCAGCAGUGGGGAAUAUUGCACAAUGGGCGCAAGCCUGAUGCAGCAACGCCGCGUGAGUGAAGAAGGCUCUUGGGUCGUAAAGCUCUUUCGGCAGGGAAGAAGGGUUCUAUGGUAAAUAAUCAUGGAAUUUGACGGUACCUGCAUAAGAAGCACCGGCUAACUCCGUGCCAGCAGCCGCGGUAAUACGGAGGGUGCGAGCGUUGUUCGGAAUUACUGGGCGUAAAGCGCGUGUAGGCGGGCUAUUAAGUCGGUUGUGAAAGCCCAGAGCUCAACUUUGGAAUUGCAGCCGAAACUAGUAGUCUUGAAUGCCUGAGAGGAUGGCGGAAUUCCUGGUGUAGAAGUGAAAUUCGUAGAUAUCAGGAGGAACACCGGAGGCGAAGGCGGCUAUCUGGCAGUGCAUUGACGCUGAGAGGCGAAAGCGUGGGGAGCAAACAGGAUUAGAUACCCUGGUAGUCCACGCCGUAAACGAUGGAUACUAGGCGUUCGGAGUGUUAACCCUCUGAGUGCCGGAGUUCACGCAUUAAGUAUCCCGCCUGGGGAGUACGGUCGCAAGGCUAAAACUCAAAGGAAUUGACGGGGGCCCGCACAAGCGGUGGAGUAUGUGGUUUAAUUCGAAGCAACGCGCAGAACCUUACCUAGGCUUGACAUCCCGUGACCGCUACAGAAAUGUAGUUUUCUCUUCGGAGACACGGUGACAGGUGCUGCAUGGCUGUCGUCAGCUCGUGUUGUGAAAUGUUCGGUUAAGUCCGGCAACGAGCGCAACCCCUGUCUAUAGUUGCCAGCAUUAAGUUGGGGACUCUAUAGAGACUGCCAGUGUUAAACUGGAGGAAGGCGGGGAUGACGUCAAGUCCUCAUGGCCCUUACGCCUAGGGCUACACACGUACUACAAUGGCAAAGACAAAGCGAAGCGAAACUGCGGAGUGGAGCCAAUCGCAAAAACAUUGUCUCAGUCCGGAUUGAAGUCUGCAACUCGACUUCAUGAAGUUGGAAUCGCUAGUAAUCGCAGAUCAGCACGCUGCGGUGAAUACGUUCCCGGGCCUUGUACACACCGCCCGUCACACCACGAAAGUGAUCAUAACCAGAAGCGCGUGAGCUAACUUCGGAGGCAGCGUGCCAAGGUUGUGGUCGUGAUUGGGGUGAAGUCGUAACAAGGUA
rnacentral:rRNA from 1 species